GUCACUUUGGGGAAGAGGAGUUGGGGGAAGGAGAACCUACUGCCUGCUUCACUGUAUUGUCCCUAUUGUUUUGCAGAGAAUAAAAGCCCGCGAAUACAUCGUCAUCCCGUGUCACGUCAGUCACUCAAAAACAGCAAAUCACAACGCAGAGUGUAUUCCACCGGUCACACUAACUCUAGGGUUCCCAAACUCCA